AUGUCCUAUUCAGGAGCAGCUACAGCAGUCAUGCCUAGGUGUGAAGAUCACACACUGACCUCACCCAUGCUGUCUCUGGCCACUUCAUCACAACCAAUGCUUAAUAUUGGACGUGGAUCUGCCAGUCCCCGGGGAAUGGGUUGAAUGGAU